AUUGAACGCUGGCGGCAGGCCUAACACACGCAAGUCGAACGAGUGGCGGACGGGUGAGUAAUGUCUGGGAAACUGCCUGAUGGAGGGGGAUAACUACCGGAAACGGUAGCUAAUACCGCAUACCAUCAGAUGUGCCCAGAUGGGAUUAGCUUGUUGGUGGGGUAACGGCUCACCAAGGCGACGAUCCUUAGCUGGUCUGAGAGGAUGACCAACCACACUGAAACUGAGACACGGUCCAGACUCCUAAGGGAGGCAGCAGUGGGGAAUAUUGCACAAGGGGCACAAGGCUGAUGCAGCCAUGCCGCAUGUAUGAAGAAGGCCUUCGGAUUGUAAAGUACUUUCAGCGGGAAGGCGUUACCCGCAGAGGAAGCACCGGCUAACUCCGUGCCAGCAGCCGCGGUAAUAC
rnacentral:rRNA from 1 species